GACGAACGCUGGCGGCGUGCUUAACACAUGCAAGUCGAACGGACAGGCCCUGCUUUUGUGGGGUGCUCGAGUGGCGAACGGGUGAGUAACACGUGAGUAACCUGCCCUUGACUUUGGGAUAACUUCAGGAAACUGGGGCUAAUACAGGAUAGGAGCUCCUGCUGCAUGUGGGGGGUUGGAGAGUUUCGGCGUUUGGGGAUGGACUCGCGGCUUAUCAGCUUGUUGGUGGGGUAGUGGCUUACCAAGCGUUUGAAGGGUAGCCGGCCUGAGAGGGUGACCGGCCACAUGGGGACUGAGAUACGGCCCAGACUCCUACGGGAGGCAGCAGUGGGGAAUAUUGCACAAUGGGCGGAAGCCUGAGGCAGCAACGCCGCGUGCGGGAUGACGGCUUUCGGGUGGUAAACCGCUUUCGCCUGUGACGAAGCGUGAGUGACGGUAAUGGGUAAAGAAGCACCGGCUAACUACGUG
rnacentral:rRNA from 1 species